rnacentral:rRNA from 1 species
UCAGGACGAACGCUGGCGGCGUGCUUAACACAUGCAAGUUGAACGGUAUGACAUGGAAGCUUGCUGAAGUGUCAUAUAGUAGCGGACGGGUGAGUAAUGCAUGAGAAGCUGCCAUUGGGAGGGGGACAACAGUUGGAAACGGCUGCUAAUACCCCGUAUGCCGGAAGGUGAAAGGGAGCGAUCCGCCCGAUGAGGUGCUCAUGUCCUAUCAGCUGGUUGGUGGGGUAACGGCCUACCAAGGCGACGACGGGUAGCCGGCCUGAGAGGGUGAACGGCCACACUGGAACUGAGAUACGGUCCAGACUCCUACGGGAGGCAGCAGUGGGGAAUAUUUGGGGCAAUGGGGGCAACCCUGACCCAGCGACGCCGCGUGGGGGAAGACGGCCUUCGGGUUGUAAACCUCUUUUGUACGGGAAGAAGGAAGUGACGGUACUGUACGAAUAAGUCCCGGCUAACUACGUGCCAGCCGCCGC